GCAGCAACAUUUAUUCCACAGCAAAACCACACAAAACAUUAUUCCAACAGUAAAAAUGAGCGACAUAGUCACCAACUCCCAUCUACAGUUCUACACAAUAUACAUAAGAAAUAAAAUUAAACACAAUUAUUGCAUAAAAGUUAAAAAAAAAGGAUAAGAAAAAAAAAAAAAAAAAAAAAGAGGAUGACAUGUUAUUGAAGGAAAAAGAGAAUCUGUGGGAAAGCAGAUAUUGUGAAAGGAAAAAAAAAAAAAAAACAAGUCAAGAUUUCAAGAAACAAACUCACUGUACAAUUUUUCAUUAUUUAAAAUCUGUCCCAUUAUUUAAAAUCUCAACAAAUUUUAAAUUUUCAAAAACAUCCUAUUUGAUGGUUAACAAAAAAAUUCAACAGCAAGAGUAAGAAACGAAAUAACCCAAAAAUAAAUUUAGCAAAAAACAAAAUAAAAGAAAAAGUUUGUAGACGAAUUGAACAAAAGAAAAACAACUUACCCUUUGCGUGAUUUUUGAACAGUGAAACCUUGGAGGAGAAUUUCAAGGGCGGCGAGUCACCGGCGAUUGGUGAGAGUCCGAGGACGGCGAUGGAGAAUUUGAGAAGCGGCGCUAGGGUUCAGUUUGGGAGUCGGGUAUAAUUUUUUGUAUCUGUGAAUUUGUGAUUGUGCGUUCUCUUCCUUCUCCGUUAAAAGUAAAAAAAAAAUAUAAACAGGUAUAUAUAUACUUAAUGAAACGACGUCGUUUUGUGUCGGUUCGGUUCCUCGGUUCGGUUUCCAACUUGAAAAACCGAAUACGGACCGAAUGUUUUGGUUCACAUAAAAAUGAAAACCGAGUAUGCGGUGUAUACUUCGGUUCGGUGCAAUUCGGUUCGGUUUUU
rnacentral:lncRNA from 1 species